rnacentral:rRNA from 1 species
UACGGAGGGUGCAAGCGUUAUCCGGAUUCACUGGGUUUAAAGGGUGCGUAGGAGGGCAGGUAAGUCCGUGGUGAAAUCUCCAAGCUUAACUUGGAAACUGCCAUGGAUACUAUCUGUCUUGAAUAUUGUGGAGGUGAGCGGAAUAUGUCAUGUAGCGGUGAAAUGCUUAGAUAUGACAUAGAACACCAAUUGCGAAGGCAGCUCGCUACACAUAUAUUGACUCUGAGGCACGAAAGCGUGGGGAUCAAGCAGG